AAAAAAAAAAAAAAAAAAAAAAAAAAAUUUGUUUACCCUAACUUUAAGGAGAAAGGCAUAAAAGCUAAUGUGAAAUAGAAGAAUAAAAAAAAUAUAAAAGAACAUAUGACAUAAUAAUUCAACUGCUUUUUCCAUUGAUACUCGUAUCUUUUCAUGAUCAUCAUAACUUGAUGUUUUGGCAGAACUGAUCUCAGAGUUUCAAGAGUUCAAACUUAAUCAAUACUUGCAUCUGCCUGUUAUCUUUCAAUUUCUCUCUCUUCCUCUCCUCUUUAUCUUUUGCGCGCCCACAUGUGGUUCAUGGCAUGCUUAUCGCUCUAACACAAAAGAACAGAAAUUAACUAUACUCUUUAAUGAAUUAAUAUCUUUUCAUCUAUCUUUGAAGCAGUUACUAGCAUAUUCCAUCUCAGACAUCACACUUGUCCUGAAAAACUGUUAAUAAUAGAGACUCUACUGAAGUUCUAGUUGUGAUCCCCACUAUUAUUCAGCACCAUUGGUUUCUAUACCCUUAUUGUUGGAAAUCCUUUUUCCCUACAGAAAUAUUGAGUAUUUAAGAGCAUUGUCUAUCAAGAUUUACCUCAUUUACAUCCAAUUCUUUAAGGUCAAAAUUCCAUUUCAACCUCUUCGGAUCAUAUCUAUCAGGAAUCAGUAUAGACACUUGUGUGAAGCAAAACCUUUGCAUCACCCUUAUAAAAGUCAACAUAAAACGAAUCCAUUAAUAUAUCUUCCUAAAAAGAAACACAAUGAGCACACAGUCAGAGUUUUGGGUUCUGUUCUCAGGCAUAAGAAUGCAAGAAGACAACGGUAAGAAUUAGUUUUUACUAUAUAUUCUCAAUAAAUCAAAAUCAAUCAGUACCGAAGCAUGCAAAGUUUCAAAAGAUUUUCUGAUACAUAUAUCUCAUAGAUGAAAUGAUAUCAUAUAUUACAACUGCUAUUAGCCUGUGGAACAAUUGAACGGCAGAGUACCAUAUAUAAACCUUCUCAACAUUAUAGGGUCAAGCCAGUUCAGAAAAUCAAGAACACUGAAAUAUUAAAUUUAGCAGAAAUUCCUUUCCUUAAUAAAAUUAAACAGUAAAGAGUACCUUAUAUACACUUCCUCGGUUUACCUCCAAUUUUCUUAAUACAAAAACCCUGAUUAAGGUAUUAACAACUUUAAAAUUCUAUAUUUUAAGCAAUCAAUUACAGAUAUUUAUCUGAACCAAUUGCUCUUAACAAAUUUUUAUCUCAAUAAUACUUGAAAAAGAUUAAGUUUUAAAUUUGCUAAAAUAUGAAAAGAAAAGGGGGCAAUCAAAGAAUUAAGAAAUUUUCUUCUGUUUUUUCAGUACAUCUUAUCAAAUUAAACAAUCAAAUAGGAAAAAUUACCAUGGGGAAUACGUGGGUGGCAGUUGCAGAUAAAUCUUCAGGAGAAGCUAAAUGGGCUGCAAUCAUAUUCACUCUUCUUCUCACAGUCAGACCCUCCAUUUCUCUACUUUCUUUAAACACAGAGCAAACUACUNNN
rnacentral:lncRNA from 1 species